AGCAGUAAAACCCUAACUAAGACACCUAUCCUAUGAUGUAGUGAGACAAUGACCUAAGCAGUCUAGCAUAGACUCCAUAGAAUGUCUCUCCUUACCUAUGAUCUAUUCAGGUAAACAGAAACUGAUUCAAGAAUGUGGGUCUAACCCAUGUCAUUGCUAACUUGUUAAGCUUUAAAUGUUUUGAUAAGCUGCAUCAUACAAGACACUGUGAUAUUCUGUAAAAGUAAUCGUAUAAAAGGACCAGGAAAGUGAAGUUGCCAGUUUCCCCAUGGACAGCAUUUACGAUUUAAAGUUUUAUUUUGAUACUUAAAGAGCUUCAAUUCAGAAAUUUUUAUUUUCACAAGAUUCAAACUUAACAGAGAUAAAACUGUAAAUCCCAAUUGUAUAAAAGCUACUAACUUAUUGUGAACUGUCAUGUAAUUCAUUUACAAUGACAAACUUUAGCCUCCUGUUUGUGUUUUCAAGGUGAAGCCUGAAGAUAGUAAAUAGAUACAGAAUUUUAGCUAGUAAAGCAUAAAGCUAGUAACUGAAUAUAAUGUAAAAGCAAAGUUUUGUCUACCUCAGAUAUACUUAACUGAUUAUGGUCCUCAAACUUCAGAGAUCUGCUAAAUGUGGCUUUUAAAAUGUUUAACGGAAGUAGUUUUCCAUAAUAGAUGGAAAUGCCAAAUUCUAGUAACAACCUUAAAUUCUCCAAAGAAGACUGUGAAGCACAGAUAAUGCCACAUGAAUUGUGGUAACACAAACCACUGGGAAGUACUGCCCCAAGCCUUGUCUACCACCAGGGCCCGACCCAAGCAGUGGACAAGCAGGACACUAGACAGUUGACUACCCACUUUACAUAAACAAGACAGACCAGUCCCCCAAGUUCCUCCUCCACAGGAAAGUGUCUCCCAUCUUCUGGACCUGGUGGCCAAAGACUGAGGCUGCCCUGGGACAUCUACCCCCAGUGAAGUCAUUGAGACCACAGGAGCCUAGAGUAACUGUCUAGAAAAUUGGCUUAAAAAUGCUCCUUAUUAAGUUAAAAUUAUGUCUGUCCAUCUGGC
rnacentral:lncRNA from 1 species